rnacentral:rRNA from 1 species
GGCGAAAAGAACCCCGGCGAGGGGAGUGAAAAAGAACCUGAAACCGUGUACGUACAAGCAGUGGGAGCCUCUUAAUGGGGUGACUGCGUACCUUUUGUAUAAUGGGUCAGCGACUUAUAUUCUGUAGCAAGGUUAACCGAAUAGGGGAGCCGAAGGGAAACCGAGUCUUAACUGGGCGUUAAGUUGCAGGGUAUAGACCCGAAACCCGGUGAUCUAGCCAUGGGCAGGUUGAAGGUUGGGUAACACUAACUGGAGGACCGAACCGACUAAUGUUGAAAAAUUAGCGGAUGACUUGUGGCUGGGGGUGAAAGGCCAAUCAAACCGGGAGAUAGCUGGUUCUCCCCGAAAGCUAUUUAGGUAGCGCCUCGUGAAUUCAUCUCCGGGGGUAGAGCACUGUUUCGGCAAGGGGGUCAUCCCGACUUACCAACCCGAUGCAAACUGCGAAUACCGGAGAAUGUUAUCACGGGAGACACACGGCGGGUGCUAACGUCCGUCGUGAAGAGGGAAACAACCCAGACCGCCAGCUAAGGUCCCAAAGUCAUGGUUAAGUGGGAAACGAUGUGGGAAGGCCCAGACAGCCAGGAUGUUGGCUUAGAAGCAGCCAUCAUUUAAAGAAAGCGUAAUAGCUCACUGGUCGAGUCGGCCUGCGCGGAAGAUGUAACGGGGCUAAACCAUGCACCGAAGCUGCGGCAGCGACACUAUGUGUUGUUGGGUAGGGGAGCGUUCUGUAAGCCUGUGAAGGUGGCCUGUGAGGGUUGCUGGAGGUAUCAGAAGUGCGAAUGCUGACAUAAGUAACGAUAAAGCGGGUGAAAAGCCCGCUCGCCGGAAGACCAAGGGUUCCUGUCCAACGUUAAUCGGGGCAGGGUGAGUCGACCCCUAAGGCGAGGCCGAAAGGCGUAGUCGAUGGGAAACAGGUUAAUAUUCCUGUACUUGGUGUUACUGCGAAGGGGGGACGGAGAAGGCUAUGUUGGCCGGGCGACGGUUGUCCCGGUUUAAGCGUGUAGGCUGGUUUUCCAGGCAAAUCCGGAAAAUCAAGGCUGAGGCGUGAUGACGAGGCACUACGGUGCUGAAGCGACAAAUGCCCUGCUUCCAGGAAAAGCCUCUAAGCAUCAGGUAACAUCAAAUCGUACCCCAAACCGACACAGGUGGUCAGGUAGAGAAUACCAAGGCGCUUGAGAGAACUCGGGUGAAGGAACUAGGCAAAAUGGUGCCGUAACUUCGGGAGAAGGCACGCUGAUAUGUAGGUGAAGCGACUUGCUCGUGGAGCUGAAAUCAGUCGAAGAUACCAGCUGGCUGCAACUGUUUAUUAAAAACACAGCACUGUGCAAACACGAAAGUGGACGUAUACGGUGUGACGCCUGCCCGGUGCCGGAAGGUUAAUUGAUGGGGUUAGCGGUAACGCGAAGCUCUUGAUCGAAGCCCCGGUAAACGGCGGCCGUAACUAUAACGGUCCUAAGGUAGCGAAAUUCCUUGUCGGGUAAGUUCCGACCUGCACGAAUGGCGUAAUGAUGGCCAGGCUGUCUCCACCCGAGACUCAGUGAAAUUGAACUCGCUGUGAAGAUGCAGUGUACCCGCGGCAAGACGGAAAGACCCCGUGAACCUUUACUAUAGCUUGACACUGAACAUUGAGCCUUGAUGUGUAGGAUAGGUGGGAGGCUUUGAAGUGUGGACGCCAGUCUGCAUGGAGCCGACCUUGAAAUACCACCCUUUAAUGUUUGAUGUUCUAACGUGGGCCCCUUACCGGGGUUGCGGACAGUGUCUGGUGGGUAGUUUGACUGGGGCGGUCUCCUCCUAAAGAGUAACGGAGGAGCACGAAGGUUGGCUAAUCCUGGUCGGACAUCAGGAGGUUAGUGCAAUGGCAUAAGCCAGCUUGACUGCGAGCGUGACGGCGCGAGCAGGUGCGAAAGCAGGUCAUAGUGAUCCGGUGGUUCUGAAUGGAAGGGCCAUCGCUCAACGGAUAAAAGGUACUCCGGGGAUAACAGGCUGAUACCGCCCAAGAGUUCAUAUCGACGGCGGUGUUUGGCACCUCGAUGUCGGCUCAUCACAUCCUGGGGCUGAAGUAGGUCCCAAGGGUAUGGCUGUUCGCCAUUUAAAGUGGUACGCGAGCUGGGUUUAGAACGUCGUGAGACAGUUCGGUCCCUAUCUGCCGUGGGCGCUGGAGAACUGAGGGGGGCUGCUCCUAGUACGAGAGGACCGGAGUGGACGCAUCACUGGUGUUCGGGUUGUCAUGCCAAUGGCACUGCCCGGUAGCUAAAUGCGGAAGAGAUAAGUGCUGAAAGCAUCUAAGCACGAAACUUGCCCCGAGAUGAGUUCUCCCUGACUCCUUGAGAGUCCUGAAGGAACGUUGAA